AGUUGACCAGACAAUCGCUGCUUUAUCGUUGUGCCUAAUGUUUCGACAAAAGGUAGACAGAUAAAGGGGAGGAAAGUCCGGGCUCCAAUGAGCAGGGUGCCAGGUAACACCUGGGCGGCGUGAGCCGACGACAAGUGCAGCAGAGAGAAGACCGCCGAUGACCGACUUAUUUAUAAGUAAUGGAACAGGUAAGGCUGAAAGGGUGCGGUAAGAGCGCACCGGAUUGCUGGUAACAGUAAUUGCAGGGUAAACUCCACCUGGAGCAAGACCAAAUAGGGUUUCAUGAUUAGUUUUAUUUCGGUAAAGCUAAUAUAAGCGUGGCUCGCGUGGAAACCGGGUAGGUUGCUUGAGCUAUAGAGCGAUUUAUAGCCUAGACGAAUGAUUGUCACUCCUUUGGGAGAUACAAAACCCGGCUUAUGUG
rnacentral:RNase_P_RNA from 1 species